rnacentral:rRNA from 1 species
AGAGCGAACGCUGGCGGCAGGCUUAACACAUGCAAGUCGAACGGAUCCUUCGGGGUUAGUGGCGGACGGGUGAGUAACACGUGGGAACGUGCCUUUUGGUUCGGAACAACUCAGGGAAACUUGAGCUAAUACCGGAUGUGCCCUUCGGGGGGAAAGAUUUAUCGCCAUUAGAGCGGCCCGCGUCUGAUUAGCUAGUUGGUGAGGUAAAGGCCCACCAAGGCUACGAUCAGUAGCUGGUCUGAGAGGAUGACCAGCCACAUUGGGACUGAGACACGGCCCAAACUCCUACGGGAGGCAGCAGUGGGGAAUCUUGCGCAAUGGGCGAAAGCCUGACGCAGCCAUGCCGCGUGAAUGAUGAAGGUCUUAGGAUUGUAAAAUUCUUUCACCGGGGACGAUAAUGACGGUACCCGGAGAAGAAGCCCCGGCUAACUUCGUGCCAGCAGCCGC